rnacentral:rRNA from 1 species
GUGCCAGCAGCCGCGGUAAUACGAAGGUGGCAAGCGUUACUCGGAAUUACUAGGCGUAAAGGGCAGGUAGGUGGCCCGGCAAGUCUGUUGUGAAAUCUCCCGGCUUAACUGGGAGGGGUCAACAGAUACUGCCAGGCUUGAGUAUAGGAGAGGGUAUUGGAAUUCCCGGUGUAGCGGUGAAAUGCGCAGAGAUCGGGAGGAACACCAAUGGCGAAAGCAGAUACCUGGACUAUUACUGACACUCAGCUGCGAAAGCUAGGGGAGCAAACAGGAUUAGAAACCCUGGUAGUCC